ACGGGAGGCAGCAGUCGGGAAUAUUGCGCAAUGGAGGAAACUCUGACGCAGUGACGCCGCGUGCAGGAAGAAGGUUUUCGGAUUGUAAACUGCUUUAGACAGGGAAGAAACAAGACAGUACCUGUAGAAUAAGCUCCGGCUAACUACGUGCCAGCAGCCGCGGUAAUACGUAGGGGGCAAGCGUUAUCCGGAUUUACUGGGUGUAAAGGGAGCGUAGACGGCUUUGCAAGUCUGAUGUGAAAGCCCGGGGCUCAACCCCGGAACUGCAUUGGAAACUGUAGAGCUAGAGUGCAGGAGAGGUAAGCGGAAUUCCUAGUGUAGCGGUGAAAUGCGUAGAUAUUAGGAGGAACACCAGUGGCGAAGGCGGCUUACUGGACUGUAACUGACGUUGAGGCUCGAAAGCGUGGGGAGCAAACAGGAUUAGAUACCCUGGUA
rnacentral:rRNA from 1 species